UGAAGAACAAGGGAAGUGAGAACUGAUGCCUUGUGUUGCGGUGAAAAUAUCCCGAAUCUUGGACGGAGAGACCUGAGUUCAAUUCGCAGCUGGUGCAGCAACAAAAGCCACGAAGCAGUGCGCAUGCUCCACCCAACAACGGUACCAGGAUAAUUGAUGUCAGCGGCGGACCAAUGGAAGGACAGGGGCGGGGCUGGAGGACCUGCGGGGCUGUUGGCCCUCCGACCAAUCAGUGAAUGAGAGGCGGGACCUGAUUAUACCACGUGAUCGUCCUCGCGGACAGCGCGGCUGUGCGGGUGGAGAGAGCUGUCGGAUAUUAAAUCAGAAUAAUUGAGGCUAGGAACUCAAAAGCAAGUUUUUACAGUCAAUGGAGUCAUCGGGAUCUGAAUAUCAUUUGCAUUUGACUGUGGACGGAGAAAGGAUGAGGCUGUCACUGUCUCGGCCAGCAUUUAUUGCUGCGUUUACCCAGUGGGCAGUUAAGAGUCAACCACGUUGUUAUAGGUCUGGAGUCCCAUGCAGACCAGACCAGAAGAAGGCAAGCCUGCCAUCCACCUCCUUCACCACUUUCAGGGAGCUGUGAACUUGUACCUGAAGAUCCCUGUGUACGUCAAUGCUGCUGAGAGCCCUUUGGCUGAGUGAAUACAUUCCUCUUGCAAUGAGCCUCCCAAAAUGCAUCACCUCACACUUGUCUGGAUUAAAAUCUAUCUCCGUAUGGGUUUUCCAACUGAUCUCUUUCUUGCUGUAUCCUUUGACAACAUUCUUCACGAUUCACAACUUCAUCA